rnacentral:rRNA from 1 species
UACGGAGGGUGCGAGCGUUAAUCGGAAUUACUGGGCGUAAAGGGUGCGUAGGUGGGUUAAUAAGUUAUUGUUUAAAUUCAUGGGCUUAACCUGUGGUAGUGCAGUAAUACUGUUAAUCUAGAGUGUAGUAGAGGAUAGGGGAAUUUCUGGUGUAGCGGUGAAAUGCGUAGAUAUCAGAAGGAACACCGGUGGCGAAGGCGCCUAUCUGGGCUAAGACUGACACUGAGGCACGAAAGCUUGGGUAGCGAACAGG